CAGACGUUUGCUCGUCCGUUCUGUUCGCGGACGGCCCGCCGCGACCGGUGGGUCCCCCGGGCCCGCCUGGGCUCGCCCGCUCCAGUCACUGCCUCUGCGGCCCCGGCACCGAAUGCAGGAGGUAAGGACCGGAGCCCCGCCUUGCCCCGCUCCGGGCGGCCGCUCCCCGGUUUCCUGCAAGACGGCAGUUCCCAUGGGGGCUGCAGGUCCCGACCCGGCCCUGGCCGCAGACUGCGGGUGGGUCCCGGCAAUGACGUGUAGAGACCACGGUCGGGGCUCCGCAGGUGCUCGUUGUUCCUGGAUUGGACGUCGUUUCUCGUCUUUACAGUUGCUCUGGGGUUUUGAGCUUGGGAUCGCAGGGGAUCUGUCGGUUGGUGGAAACUUAAACCGGAUAUAGAGGCCGUCACGAAGAUUGUUGAGAGAGACACAGAAUAACGCUGCCUGAAAAAGUGAGUAGAGAUGGGCGUAGGGACCUGAGAGGGCUGCAGGUGCUGGGUCCAGCAGUUCCUGAAGCCUUGCCUCAUUGCUCCUUCUGCCUAAUGCACUUCAGCUCAUAAGGCAGAAUGUUUUUCCUUCAAGUGAUACAAACCAAAAACCAGUGUAAGAGCAAAGAAGGAAGUUUUAUGGCAUGUCGGAUGGCUUCAGGCACGGCUAGAUCCAGCAGUCUGGAAGUAUCAUUACGGAUCUCUCUCUCUCCAUGUCUCAGCUCAUCUGAGAGCCGUCCCUGCUCUUCGGUGAGCUCUCUCUGAGCAGUGGCGUGUGGAAACUCUGGGUUAACGUUCCAGCAGCCCUUGAAGGAAAACCGUCUUCUUCCCCAGUCAUUGCAGGAAACGUCGUGAGGCCUGUUGUCUUUGGCCUGCUGCGGAAGUGGAGCGGAGGCAGGCACUCCUCAGAGGACGUGAGCCGGAGCUGGGGCGGGGAGGACCCCCAAAAGGGAAUAGCCAGGAUUCUGAGAGCCCGGGAGGUGGGAGAUAAGCGAAAAGUGCCCUCCUCUCUCACAUCCUGCUGGUCCUCUGCCGGGGCCUCCAGGGCUCCCUGUGAUAGUUGUGUCUGGCCCUUGGCGGAAACGGGACUCCUUUUCUUGCCUUUAUUGCUGUGGCAUUCAUACAGUUAACCGUUUUAUUUUUAUUAUUA